rfam:Eutrema salsugineum unplaced genomic scaffold scaffold_2, whole genome shotgun sequence.
CUUCUGCUAUGAUGAUCUUUUGAAUAAAAUUCACAUGUCAGACUUCAGAGAUUUAAUAUCGAUGAGAAUAAAUAUUCAUAAUUCUGAGCAGAAG